GCCAGUUUAGCUCAGCGGCAGAGCAGCUGUUUUGUAAACAGCAGGUCGUCGGUUCGAUCCCGACAACUGGCUCCA
rnacentral:tRNA from 1 species